rnacentral:rRNA from 1 species
CAGCUAGUUGGUGAGGUAACGGCUCACCAAGGCGACGAUCAGUAGCUGGUCUGAGAGGAUGAUCAGCCACAUUGGGACUGAGACACGGCCCAAACUCCUACGGGAGGCAGCAGUGGGGAAUAUUGGACAAUGGGCGCAAGCCUGAUCCAGCCAUGCCGCGUGAGUGAUGAAGGCCCUAGGGUUGUAAAGCUCUUUUGUGCGGGAAGAUAAUGACGGUACCGCAAGAAUAAGCCCCGGCUAACUUCGUGCCAGCAGCCGCGGUAAUACGAAGGGGGCUAGCGUUGCUCGGAAUCACUGGGCGUAAAGGGUGCGUAGGCGGGUCUUUAAGUCAGGGGUGAAAUCCUGGAGCUCAACUCCAGAACUGCCUUUGAUACUGAAGAUCUUGAGUUCGGGAGAGGUGAGUGGAACUGCGAGUGUAGAGGUGAAAUUCGUAGAUAUUCGCAAGAACACCAGUGGCAGAG